AUUGAACGCUAGCGGGAUGCCUUACACAUGCAAGUCGAACGGAGUGGCGAACGGGUGAGUAAUGUAUCGGAACGUGCCCAGUAGCGGGGGAUAACUACGCGAAAGCGUAGCUAAUACCGCAUACUAUUGGAGCGGCCGAUAUCGGAUUAGCUAGUUGGUGGGGUACCGGCUCACCAAGGCGACGAUCCGUAGCUGGUUUGAGAGUACGACCAGCCACACGAGGACUGAGACACGGCCCAGAAGCCUACGGGAGGCAGCAGUGGGGAAGAUGGGACAAUGGGGGAAACCCUGAUGCAGCCAUCCCGCGUGGGCGAUGAAGGACUGCGGGUUGUAAAGCACUUUUAGCAGGAAAGCGGUACCUGCAGAAUAAGCACCGGCUAACUACGGGCCAGCAGCCGCGGUAAUUC
rnacentral:rRNA from 1 species